rnacentral:rRNA from 1 species
UACGUAGGUUGCAAGCGUUGUCCGGAUUUACUGGGUGUAAAGGGCGUGUAGGCGGAGCUGCAAGUCAGAUGUGAAAUCCCGGGGCUCAACCCCGGAACUGCAUUUGAAACUGUAGCCCUUGAGUAUUGGAGAGGCAAGCGGAAUUCCUAGUGUAGCGGUGAAAUGCGUAGAUAUUAGGAGGAACACCAGUGGCGAAGGCGGCUUGCUGGACGACAACUGACGCUGAGGCGCGAAAGCGUGGGGAGCAAACAGG